UGACGGAGCAACGCCGCGUGAGUGAUGAAGGUUUUCGGAUCGUAAAGCUCUGUUGUUAGGGAAGAACAAGUGCGAGAGUAACUGCUCGCACCUUGACGGUACCUAACCAGAAAGCCACGGCUAACUACGUGCCAGCAGCCGCGGUAAUACGUAGGUGGCAAGCGUUGUCCGGAAUUAUUGGGCGUAAAGGGCUCGCAGGCGGUUUCUUAAGUCUGAUGUGAAAGCCCCCGGCUCAACCGGGGAGGGUCAUUGGACACUGGGAAUCUUGAGUGCAGAAGAGGAGAGUGUAAUUCCUCGUGUAGCGGUGAAAUGCGUAGAGAUGUGGAGGAACACCAGUGGCGAAGGCGACUCUCUGGUCUGUAACUGACGCUGAGGAGCGAAAGCGUGGGGAGUGAACAGGAUUAGAUACAAUCCUGGUAGUCCACGCCGUAACCGAUGAGUGGUAAGUGUUAGGGGGUUUCCGCCCCUUAGUGCUGCAGCUAACGCAUUAAGCAUUCCGCCUGGGGAGUACGGUCGCAAGACUGAAACUCAAAGGAAUUGCCGGGGGCCCGCACAAGCGGUGGAGCAUGUGGUUUAAUUGGAAGCAACAGGAAGAACCUUACCAGGUCUUGACAUCCUCUGACAACCCUAGAGAUAGGGCUUUCCCUUCGGGGACAGAGUGACAGGUGGUGCAUGGUUGUCGUCAGCUCGUGUCGUGAGAUGUUGGGUUAAGUCCCGCAACGAGCGCAACCCUUGAUCUUAGUUGC
rnacentral:rRNA from 1 species